rnacentral:lncRNA from 1 species
GUUUGGUGUGCUCUUGCAAUUGUAACAGGCAAGGAGCACCCUUCUGCAGAAGUAAAGAUGCCUUGCUGAGGAAUUUUCUAAGUGAGGGUUUCUUUUGGCUACACCAAGCACUUGUUUCCAGUAAAUCUUAGGGACUCGUCCGGGAUCCCAUUCUCCUUCGGGAGGGGCUAGCGAUUAUCUUUCAUGGGGAGACGCGUCCCAUUGCCUCGUGGUGGCCCCAGGAGCGGAGGAUCGAGUCCCGCCCGAAGUGACGAAUAAAUCCGGACUCUCAGCAACGCGGACAGUAGGGAGGAUCCUUAAGAAUUCUGUGAGACCAGCUUGGUCAAUACGGUGAAACUCCGUUUCUACUAAAAAUACAAAAAUUAACCGGGCGUGGUGGUGCGCGCCCUUAGUCCCAGCUACUUGGGAGGCUGAGGCAGGAAAAUCACUUGAACCCGGGAGGCAGAAGUUGCAGUAAGCCGAGAUCAUGCCACUGCACUCCAGCCUAGGCAACAGAGCGAGACUCCGUCUCAAAAAAAAAAAAAAAAA